rnacentral:rRNA from 1 species
CAAUAGCGUAUAUUAAAGUUGUUGCAGUUAAAAAGCUCGUAGUUGGAUUUGUGGCGUACGGUGUGUUCCGGGCACUUGUUGUCUGAGUAACCUGCUGUUGCCAUCCUUGGGUGGAACCUGUGUGGCAUUAGGUUGUCGUGCAGGGGAUGCCCAUCAUUUACUGUGAAAAAAUUAGAGUGUUCAAAGCAGGCUUAUGCCGUUGAAUAUAUUAGCAUGGAAUAAUGAGAUAGGACUUUUUUGCUAUUUUGUUGGUUUGCGCAAAGAGGUAAUGAUUAAUAGGGACAGUUGGGGGUAUUCGUAUUCCAUUGUCAGAGGUGAAAUUCUUGGAUUUUUUGGAAGACGAACUACUGCGAAAGCAUUUACCAAGGAUGUUUUCAUUAA